rnacentral:rRNA from 1 species
UACAGAGGGUGCGAGCGUUAAUCGGAAUUACUGGGCGUAAAGCGUGCGCAGGCGGUUUUGUAAGUCUGUCGUGAAAUCCCCGGGCUCAACCUGGGAAUUGCGAUGGAGACUGCAAGGCUAGAAUCUGGCAGAGGGGGGUAGAAUUCCACGUGUAGCAGUGAAAUGCGUAGAGAUGUGGAGGAACACCGAUGGCGAAGGCAACCCCCUGGGUCAAGAUUGACGCUCAUGCAC